rnacentral:rRNA from 1 species
UCAGGACGAACGCUGGCGGCGUGCCUAACACAUGCAAGUCGAACGGAGUCAGAAAGCUUGCUUUUGACUAGUGGCGGACGGGUGAGUAACGCGUGAGUAACCUGCCUCUGAGAGGGGAAUAACGUUCUGAAAAGAACGCUAAUACCGCAUAACGUAUUGAAGCCGCAUGACUUUGAUACCAAAGAUUUUAUCGCUCGGAGAUGGACUCGCGUCCGAUUAGUUAGUUGGUGAGGUAACGGCUCACCAAGACCGCGAUCGGUAGCCGGACUGAGAGGUUGAUCGGCCACAUUGGGACUGAGGCACGGCCCAGACUCCUACGGGAGGCAGCAGUGGGGGAUAUUGCGCAAUGGGGGCAACCCUGACGCCAGCAACGCCGCGUGAAGGAUGAGGGUUUUCGGAUUGUAAACUUCUUUUAUCAGGGACGAAAUCUGACGGUACCUGAUGAAUAAGCUCCGGCUAACUACGUGCCAGCCGCUGC